rnacentral:rRNA from 1 species
GACGAACGCUGGCGGCGUGCUUAACACAUGCAAGUCGAACGGAAAGGCCCUGCUUUUGUGGGGUGCUCGAGUGGCGAACGGGUGAGUAACACGUGAGUAACCUGCCCUUGACUUUGGGAUAACUUCAGGAAACUGGGGCUAAUACCGGAUAGGAGCUCCUGCUGCAUGGUGGGGGUUGGAAAGUUUCGGCGGUUGGGGAUGGACUCGCGGCUUAUCAGCUUGUUGGUGGGGUAGUGGCUUACCAAGGAUUUGACGGGUAGCCGGCCUGGCAGGGUGACCGGCCACAUUGGGACUGAGAAAGGGCCCAGACGCCUACGGGAGGCAGGAGUGGGAGACAUAGCGCAAAGGGCGGAGGCCGGAUGGAGGAUCGCCGCGUGCGAGAAGACGGCCUUCGGGUUGUAAACCGCUUUCGACUGUGACGAAGCGUGAGUGACGGUAAUGGGUAGAGAAGCACCGGCUAACUACGU